GAGUUUGAUCCUGGCUCAGGAUGAACGCUAGCGGCAGGCCUAAUACAUGCAAGUCGGACGGGAUCCAUCGGCGAGCUUGCUCAAAGAUGGUGAGAGUGGCGCACGGGUGCGUAACGCGUGAGCAACCUACCUCUAUCAGGGGGAUAGCCUCUCGAAAGAGAGAUUAACACCGCAUAACAUCAACAGUUCGCAUGUUCAGUUGAUUAAAUAUUUAUAGGAUAGAGAUGGGCUCGCGUGACAUUAGCUAGUUGGUAGGGUAACGGCUUACCAAGGCGACGAUGUCUAGGGGCUCUGAGAGGAGAAUCCCCCACACUGGUACUGAGACACGGACCAGACUCCUACGGGAGGCAGCAGUAAGGAAUAUUGGUCAAUGGGCGGAAGCCUGAACCAGCCAUGCCGCGUGCAGGAUGACUGCCCUAUGGGUUGUAAACUGCUUUUGUCCAGGAAUAAACCCAGAUACGUGUAUCUGGCUGAAUGUACUGGAAGAAUAAGGAUCGGCUAACUCCGUGCCAGCAGCCGCGGUAAUACGGAGGAUCCGAGCGUUAUCCGGAUUUAUUGGGUUUAAAGGGUGCGUAGGCGGCCAAUUAAGUCAGGGGUGAAAUACGGUGGCUCAACCAUCGCAGUGCCUUUGAUACUGAUUGGCUUGAAUCCAUUUGAAGUGGGCGGAAUAAGACAAGUAGCGGUGAAAUGCAUAGAUAUGUCUUAGAACUCCGAUUGCGAAGGCAGCUCACUAAGCUGGUAUUGACGCUGAUGCACGAAAGCGUGGGGAUCGAACAGGAUUAGAUACCCUGGUAGUCCACGCCCUAAACGAUGAUAACUCGAUGUUGGCGAUAGACAGCCAGCGUCCCAGCGAAAGCGUUAAGUAUCCACUGG
rnacentral:rRNA from 1 species